ACACACACACACACACAGUACACAAACAAAACUUUUAUUUGGUGCAAUUAAUCACAACGACUGUUUUGACACAAGUUAAUUAAUAAUCAGAAAGAUUAAUUGAAAUCAUGAAACUACAUUUCAACAAUAAUAUUUUUAAAUCCAUAUGAAAUGCAUUUAAUUUUUCCCCAAAUUCAGUUAAUUUUUUUUUUUUUUUAAAGAAUCCAGUUUCUGUUUUUGGUUUUAGUUUUUUGGGGAUUUCUCUAUAAUGGUUCAAUUAAAUUUGAAUAAAAUUUUAGGUUUAAUUCUAAUUGCUCAUGAAUGAAUUCAACAGCAGUGAACGAAUGGUCGGUAUGAACUGAAUGUGAGGUGUAUUCGACUCGAACUCCUGGUGUUUUCGCUCUUCUCCUCACAUCCUUUCAUUUUCUCAAAAAGCCUUGUUAGUGUCACCUCUCAUUAAACUAAAGUGUUUGUCCGGUCGGGCCGCGUGAUGCGUGCACUUCACCCUUACUCUACAGCGAGUAAGAAAUACUCUGAUGAUGAUGAUGAUAAUAAUAAUAUUCAGUUGAGCAGAACUUUUAUCGUUAUUAAAAUAAAUGUAAUUAUAUAAAUAAAUUGAAACUUAAAAAUUUAUAAAAACUGAAAUGUUAAUUAAAAUUGAAAUGAAAAUGGUAGUUAUGUGUGCUGAUUUGAAACUGCUUUAUAUUCUGUAUAUAAUUAUAUUGACUUAUUUUUUUGUGUGCUCUGAGCAGAGUUAUUAUAGUGAAAAUAAAUUAAAAAAAUUAUUUAUCCAAAUCAAUAUUUAGAUUUUGGUCUUAAAAACUAAAAUUCAAAAUCAAACGAUAUAGGCAUUAAAAAAAGAAACCGAUUACUAAAAUGUACUCUAAGAUAAGGAGUGUGUGUUUGAGGAUGACGGAGUAAGUUCGCCGUCUGUUUGGUGUUUAAAGCGCUAUAAAUAAAGCUCUAAUGUGUUCCUCCAGACUCUGGACUUUUGCUUUCAGUUUCAGCUGGACCAAUCAGGUGCUGGAAAACCCCCGCCGCCGAAGAUGCCCUUCAUCGCUCAUCAGGACGGAGCCGGAGGGGAACGGCCGCUUUGAAGAAGUAGAAAAGUCUGAUUUGCUGAAAUCAAAAACAGGGACGACGGUAACCGACCGCCAGCCAAUAAGAUUGUCGUUAGCGCAUUAGCCCCGCCCACCAGCAGAAAACAGCGGUUCAUAAAAACCCAAGAGAUCCAAAGAAACUGGUUGACAUGUUUAUUUGAGUGUGUGUGUUCAGAUGAACGGAGCCGGUCACAUGAAAUUACUGGGAAAAUAACACCGUUAUUAAUAUUACAGGAAAUAAAGUUUACGGUAGGAAAUGUUCACAGUAUCCUCACAGAACAUGAACUUUUCUGAAUACGGGGUAUAGUUGUCUGUAGCCGUGCUGUUAUGAGUGUGUCCGUGUUUCAGAGACACACAGAAAGCUGGACUCGGGCCCCAGGUGGCUCCAAUCAGGGGCCCUUCUGAGUCUGUGUUUGCUUUAGACGCUCGUAUUUCUUCUGGAGGAGCCACUGGUUUCUGAAAGACAGCUGAGAUCUCCUCCAUAAAGUACAUUACACAAACAUUUUCAGGCAAGUGCUUAAUUAUGACUGUGAGUAAUCAUAACCACAGUUAUUACGCAUUUCUAUUCAUUAUUAAACUUUUGGAAAGAAUAGUGCAUUAAAAUAGAGCACCAUUUCAGACGAAUCUGCAAACAUUGAUGCAUUUUUACUGUUUUCAUAAGGGUUUAUAAAAAAAAAUGAAGCAAACAAACAUUAAAUUAAACAUAAAUUUUUUAAAAUGAUUUUAAGUUGAAAAAUGACAUGUAAUCUUUUGCAAAAUGUGCUCUAAUAUAUGUACCAUCCUUUAUAUAUUAUGUAUUACAGAAAUAUUUUAGCGCCUUAUAAUGCAUGGUAUAAGCUCAUGAAUAAUUAUAAUACAUAUUUAUUAAUUCAUGACAGCUUUAGAUAUUAUAAUGCAUCUUAACUUUUACUAUAAUGAUUUCUGAAAACCUUUUUUAUAUUACAUUCUACUAAAUACUUUCAGUGUUACUGUGUCGUCAUUUAUAUAUAAAUAAUAUAUUUUGUUUUAUUUGAUAUACAAAGUAAACAGAAGUAGAUGAAUAAAAAUAUACAGACGUAGGCUAUUUAACAAGAAAGUGUUAUUAAAAACAGCAGUACAAAAAUAUAACAGAUUACAAAAAACAACAAGUGACACUGAAUUAAAAAUGAAAUAAAACUCAGUUAAUCUUUGUGUUAUUGCUUUAAAAGCCUUUUCCAGACUUCAGCCGAAGUGUGUUCACUCCUGAUCCGCUUCCGUUCACACACACUUCAGUUCCUCGGGAGCGAUGAGGAUGAUGAUGAUGAUGAAGAGCACCGGGGUGUCUUCACUGAAUAUAGAAACACUUCAGAAGAACAAAAACAUUAAAUGCUUUCGUCUUGGCGUCAGCCAGCAGGGAUCCAUAAAAUACUUGAAUUAGUCAUAGAACCAGUCUGUGAGUGAUUCAGACUCAUGAUCUCCACACAUCCACCCAGAAUCAGUUUACAUGAUUCACGUUCAUUAAUUCAUUUAUUCAUUCAGCAGACACUCGUCCAAGAUGAGGAGCAUCGCAAGCAAUUUCCAACCACAUAGCAACACCCUGCAAACAUACAACAGCAGCUUGCAAACCAUAGCAACACCCUGCAAACACAAAACAACACUAUGACAACCAUAGCAACGCCCUGCCAACCAUAAUAUUAUUCUAGCAACCAUAACAACACCCUAGAGAAAACAUAACAACACCUUGCCAACCAAAGCAACACCCUGCCAACCAUAACAUCAUUCUAGCAACCAAAGGAAUACCCUGGCAACCAAAGGAAUACCCUAGCAACCAAAGGAAUACCCUGGCAAACUCGCAGCAACACCCUGCAAACCAUAACAACACCCUGGAAACAUAUAACAACACUCUGCCAACCAUAGCAACGCCCUGCCAACCAUAACAUCAUUCUAGCAACCAUAACAACACUAUGCCAACCAAAGCAACACCCUAGCAACCACAGUAACACCCUGGGAAACACUUAACAACACUAUACCAACCACAGUUACACCCUGGCAAACACAGAACAACACUAUGCCAACGCCCUGCCAACCAUAACAUCAUUCUAACAACCAUAACAACAUCCUGCCAACCAAAGCAACACCCUGCAAACUAUAGGAACACCCUGGUAACCACAGUAACACCCUGGCAAACAAAUAACAACACUUUGCCAACCAUAGCAACACCCUGGAAACCACAUAAGAAUACCCAGCCAAACAUAGCAACACCCUGACAACCAUAACAACAUCCUAGCAACCAUAACAGCACCCUAGACACCAUUACAACACCCUGGUAACCUUAACAAAAUGCUGACAACUGUAGCAACACCCUAGUUACCAUAACAACACCCUGACAAACAUACAGCAACACCCUGUCUACCUGGCAAGCACAUAAUAAAAUCCAGGUAACUAUAUAACUCAUAGAAAACCAUUCAAACACAUUAGUAACAACAGAAAAACCACCAAACAGCAUAGUAACAUACUGGCAGAAAGAAAACCAUAGAAACACCCUGGCAACUGCAUAAUAAUACCUUGGUAACCAUAACAACUCCCUGGCAACCACAUAGCAACACAGAAAAUCACAGAAGCACCCUAGCAACCACUUUGUACCCCAAAGGCAUGUUCAUGUUUUCCUGUGGAUGAACCGUUGAACACCGUGAUCCGUUCAGAAAGUGUUGGUGUGUGACCCGUGUGACCUCCAGAAAGUGAGACUGAACUCCUGUCUUACUCACAAAGACUCGUUCAGCGUGACUCAAGUUCAGCUCAUGAAUCUCCACGUCUGCUUACAAUUUACUGACUGCAGGAACUUCCUGUGCCUCCCGUUAGCGCCGAAAACAUGGGAAACCGCUGACACACUGCAACAGAGACUCCAGUUUGAAGGAGCGUCUCAGGAACGUCAUGAACUCAUCAGGGACUGGAGGAGGUCAUGAGAAACAUCUCCACUGGCAGAUCUACAGAAAAGCUUUUGUUGCGGAGGGAAUCUGAGUUAGUUACAGUAAACACGCUCGCAGCGGCCGUCAGGGGUUAGUGAAGACCACCUGUCCAAACAGUGUGUGAGCGUCUGGAGGAGAGGAACCUCACGUGAACGAAGAAGUUCAUUCUGACGACACGCUGGAAAGAAAAGUCCUCUGAAACAGAUAUGAGCGGAAACUGAUGGUUCCUUUAACAUGAUGAACAGGAUCAGGGAGCCGGGAAAGACUGAAAAGACCCGGAUGUUCCCGCAUGAAACUAAACUCCAAAAGUCGGUGAAAACGAGGUACUUUCUGAAACACAGCUGAGGUCUGGAGCAUCCUUCCAGACCCGUGCGCCUUCGCUCAGGAGUAGAUCGGACCGCCUCGGAUCCGGUCCAUUCCCACGAAUCUCAGCUUCUCACAAACACUUGAGGACUGAAAACAAACACAAGCGGCAGGCCGAGAGAGCGGGACGGGAGCAGAGUAAACCGAGCGCAGCUCUUUGUUCAUGUUUACAGAAUUCCAGUUUCAGAGCUGCAGGGUGAAGCAGAAGAACAAAGAGCGAGAUCCUGCGAAGAUCCGCCUGGAGGAGCGUCUCUGAAGCGUGAAGUGUGUUCGACGGCCUCGCUGAACUCUCACUCUUUUCAUUCUUCUUUAAUCGCCAGGCUCGGGUGAACAUGACGAAGCAGCAGAGAGUCGACUGAUCCAGCAAUCUACUGAAACAUCCUCUGGAUUAGUGCUUCUAGUCUUCUAGUGGAAACAUCUGAACCAUCUUCAGUGAAAGCUGUAAAACCCGAGCACCUGAACAGGACGGACUGGUACUCGUGACUCAGUGACACGUCUCUCACGCUUUUCCUCAUUCUUCAGCCUGAUGAUGAUGAUGAUGAUGAUGAUGAUGAUGACGAAGGUGAUGAAGAUGAACGCGGCUAUUGUCUCGGAGAUUGAGCGGAAAACAAAGCCUCUCUUCAAACGCUCAUCUCGUUUCUGGUAAUUACACGUUCGUGUGAAAACAAGACUGUCCUACACAUCACAAGGACUUACAGUAAUUGUAUAAAUAACGCCGCUGCUAUUAUAAAGCAUAAUUACCAGCUUCACACGUACACAAACACAUCCAGAGCUAUCAGCUUCUCCUUGAUCUUCACUGAGCUCCGGAAGAAGAGCGGGCUGUGACAUCACCGGUGACAUCACUGAGAGAGAUAUUGUUAUACCAGCGGAGAUUAUUCGAUGGAGCUGAAGCAGACAGAAAACCCGGUUACUCAUUCCACUCGUGAAGAGGCGUUUACAUCGAAAAAACCAAAUCAGACCUCAGAGAGGAGGGGAUCUUACACAGCCCAAAGAAAGCCCGGCGUGAUGAAGUGUUCAGAUAUAACCUUACACCUGCAACGGAGAGGAAUUACAUAAACAAAGAGUGAUGAAAAAAUGAGUUCAGGUGACUUAAAUAUCUGGAGUAAAUGAAGUUAACUAAACUUGUCUUUUUAAGUUGAGCAUAAUCUCAAUCUUUAUUAUCAUUAUUUGCUUAUUUUUAAUCAUAGCAAUAUAUAUACAGUAUAUAUAUAUAUAUAUAGUUCGUACAUUUCUGAGGCUCUUGCAGCAAAAGUGCACUUCUUUUCUGUCCGACUUUUAAUGCACGUGAAAAUGUGCUGAGAAUUGAUCAAAUGAUCUCAGAUUCAGACAGAAAUUCAAGACUUCUUGCAAACUGCAAGCAAAAAAACAUCAAGGCGUCGUUACAUGAGCAAACACUGGACAGUUAUUAGACGGUUUAUUAACGUUAUUCAGAGCACAGCGCAUUGAGUAUUAUUCAUUCUAAAUGAAUUACCUUUAUUGUGAAGUGUUGCCAUAUUUUGUAAUAAAGAGUGACUUUAUUAAAACGAGCAAAAAUGCAAGCAAGACAGAACAAGACAAUGCUUUAAAGUGAGACGAUUUCAUAUAGAAAACGAGAGAAAAACUCUAAUAAAGUGUAAUAAAGUGAUGAUAUCAUCUGAAAGCUGAAAUCAGCGGGAAGCAGCCGAACAAACAGCAGCGCGUCGGAGAACUUGGUGUUCCGUGUUUGUGCUGCACACUUCCUGUGAGCUACUUCCUGUUUGGACAGGCCUGAUGGGCAUUGUGCUGGAGGCGCUCUCUGCCAGCCCACAUCAUUCCUCAGAUCAGCUCAUAACUCAUAACUUCAUCAUCAGCGCAGGACCUUCUUCAGGAGCUGCCUGCAUCUGCUCGGACUUCUUCUAGAAGAAAUAUCCACACAUUCUUCACUCAAGAUGCAUUUAAUCUACAAGUAAAUGGGCAUCCACUGUGUUUCUUUUCAGACUUUUGGAAAGAAAACAUCCAAAAUACACUACACUUUUACUUUUAAAGCACUUCAUGUAUUUGUGUCGAUAGAUUUCAAUUCAAAUACAUAUUUUUGAACAUUUUUCUAUUACGCUGUGUUUCAGCGGCACUCAGACACACCGAACUCUACACAGUCUAUAUCCUGAAGAUUUUUACAGAGGUGUUUGUUUAUGUAUAAUUUGCUUGAUAUUAUGUUUUCUAUCCGUUCGAAGCAAAAACGAGAUUUAAUCAAAACUUUCAGUGAAAUAAAAGAAUUCUGAGACUGACGUCAUCCAGCAUUUAU